UACGUAGGGUGCGAGCGUUGUCCGGAAUUACUGGGCGUAAAGAGCUCGUAGGCGGUUUGUCGCGUCUGCCGUGAAAGUCCGGGGCUCAACUCCGGAUCUGCGGUGGGUACGGGCAGACUAGAGUGAUGUAGGGGAGACUGGAAUUCCUGGUGUAGCGGUGAAAUGCGCAGAUAUCAGGAGGAACACCGAUGGCGAAGGCAGGUCUCUGGGCAUUAACUGACGCUGAGGAGCGAAAGCGUGGGGAGCGAACAGG
rnacentral:rRNA from 1 species